rnacentral:rRNA from 1 species
UACGGGGGGAGCAAGCGUUGUUCGGAUUUACUGGGCGUAAAGGGCGCGUAGGCGGCCAGCACAAGUCGAGUUGUGAAAUCUCCGAGCUUAACUCGGAAAGGUCAACUGAAACUGUGCGGCUAGAGUGCAGGAAGGGGCAACUGGAAUUCUUGGUGUAGCGGUGAAAUGCGUAGAUAUCAAGAGGAACACCUGCGGCGAAGGCGGGUUGCUGGGCUGACACUGACGCUGAAGCGCGAAAGCUAGGGGAGCGAACGGG